rnacentral:rRNA from 1 species
GUAGGAUAGAGGCCUACUAUGGUGGUAACGGGUAACGGGGAAUUAGGGUUCGAUUCCGGAGAGGGAGCCUGAGAAACGGCUACCACAUCCAAGGAAGGCAGCAGGCGCGCAAAUUACCCAAUCCCGACACGGGGAGGUAGUGACAAUAAAUAACAAUACGGGGCUCUUUCGGGUCUCGUAAUUGGAAUGAGUACAAUUUAAAUCCCUUAACGAGGAACAAUUGGAGGGCAAGUCUGGUGCCAGCAGCCGCGGUAAUUCCAGCUCCAAUAGCGUAUAUUAAAGUUGUUGCAGUUAAAAAGCUCGUAGUUGAAUUUCGGGAUUGACACAUCGGUCGUGCCCUAAGGGGUAUGAACUGGUGUCGUCAGUUUCUCACCUUCUGGAGAACCGCGAUGUCCUUAAUUGGGUGCCGCGAGGAACCAGGACCUUUACUUUGAAAAAAUUAGAGUGUUUAAAGCAGGCAUUUUGCUUGAAUACAUUAGCAUGGAAUAAUAAAAUAGGACGGAUGGUUCUAUUUUGUUGGUUUCUAGGAUCACCGUAAUGAUUAAUAGGGAUAGUUGGGGGCAUUAGUAUUCAAUUGUCAGAGGUGAAAUUCUUGGAUUUAUUGAAGACUAACUACUGCGAAAGCAUUUGCCAAGGAUGUUUUCAUUAAUCAAGAACGAAAGUUAGGGGAUCGAAGACGAUCAGAUACCGUCGUAGUCUUAACCAUAAACUAUGCCGACUAGGAAUCAGACGAUGUUAAUUUUUUAAUGACUCGUUUGGCACCUUACGGGAAACCAAAGUGUUUGGGUUC